rnacentral:rRNA from 1 species
GACGAACCGUGCGAACGUUGUUCGGAAUCACUGGGCUUAAAGGGCGCGUAGGCGGGCUGCCGCGUCCGGGGUGAAAUCCCACGGCUCAACCGUGGAACGGCCUCGGAUACGGGCGGUCUCGAGGGAGGUAGGGGCACGCGGAACUGUGGGUGGAGCGGUGAAAUGCGCAGAUAUCAGGAGGAACACCGGUGGCGAAGGCGGGUCUCUGGGCCGAUACUGACGCUGAGGAGCGAAAGCGUGGGGAGCAAACAGG